AUUGAACGCUGGCGGCAGGCCUAACACAUGCAAGUCGAACGGUAACAGGAAGAAGCUUGCUUCUUUGCUGACGAGUGGCGGACGGGUGAGUAAUGUCUGGGAAACUGCCUGAUGGAGGGGGAUAACUACUGGAAACGGUAGCUAAUACCGCAUAACGUCGCAAGACCAAAGAGGGGUACCUUCGGGCCUCUUGCCAUCUGAUGUGCCCAGAUGGGAUUAGCUAGUAGGUGGGGUAACGGCUCACCUAGGCGACGAUCCCUAGCUGGUCUGAGAGGAUGACCAGCCACACUGGAACUGAGACACGGUCCAGACUCCUACGGGAGGCAGCAGUGGGGAAUAUUGCACAAUGGGCGCAAGCCUGAUGCAGCCAUGCCGCGUGUAUGAAGAAGGCCUUCGGGUUGUAAAGUACUUUCAGCGGGGAGGAAGGGAGUAAAGUUAAUACCUUUGCUCAUUGACGUUACCCGCAGAAGAAGCACCGGCUAACUCCGUG
rnacentral:rRNA from 1 species